AGAAAUAUAGGCUAUCACCUUAAACCAUGAGCCUUCAAAGCUCAAAAUGCGGGAGUCCCCGCUAUUUCUG
rnacentral:tRNA from 1 species